UCUCAGGCCGAUACUCCAAUCAGUUUCCUCUGUAGAUCCUCAGCUCUUAGGUGCUUUGGCGAGUUCAUCACCAUUCCUCUCCGGCGAAGGCUUCUCAGUCACGACAGUUUGCUUUGAGUUCUCCGGCGAAGUAUUCUCUGCAAGCGAAGGGCGACGGAAACCCCUCUUUUUUCCUAAAUUGGGAUCUUCUCAGGCGACGGGCGACGGGCGACGGGCGACAGGCGACAGGCGACAGGCAUCUCCAACAUUGCAAGACGCGAGAGUAUCUACAAUUUCAGAGAAAGUAAGGAGAUGAGAUUCAGCAUGAAGGUAGCAACUCCCAAGUAUUAACAAGGUCACAAGCAACAUCUCAACCCACACAACAAACAAUUCAAGAGAAAGCUUUAGCCAGGCAAGUUGUCAAGUACGCGAAAUGGAGGAGAACACAUGCUAAGAAGAAAUAGGAAAAUGGAUGUUGGUGAUGGGAAAGAGCAGCUAGGUUAUGGAACAAUCUUUUUUUUUUUUUUUUAGAGAAAGUUGUUAUUGAAUGAUGUUUAUUGGGUUAUGAAACUUUUGUUGGUUUACUUGGGUUUUGGAACAAUGAUGUUUA